GAUGAACGCUGGCGGCGUGCCUAACACAUGCAAGUCGAGCGAAGCGCUCGGGAGGAAGUUUUCGGAUGGAAUCCUGAAUGACUGAGCGGGCGACGGGUCGAAGGUACGCGUAGGUAACGUGCUCAUACAGGGGAUAACAGUUGGAAACGGCUGCUAAUACCGCAUAAGCGCACAGUACCGCAUGGUACGGUGUGAAAACUCCGGUGGUAUGAGAUGGACCCGCGUCUGAUUAACUAGUUGGUGGGGUAACGGCCUACCAAGGCGACGAUCAGUAGCCGACCUGAGAGGGUGACCGGCCACAGUUGGGACUGGAGACACGGCCCCAA
rnacentral:rRNA from 1 species